rnacentral:rRNA from 1 species
AGCAGCCGCCGCGGGAAUACGUAGGUGGCAAGCGUUGUCCGGAAUUAUUGGGCGUAAAGCGCGCGCAGGCGGAUAGGUCAGUCUGUCUUAAAAGUUCGGGGCUUAACCCCGUGAUGGGAUGGAAACUGCCAAUCUAGAGUAUCGGAGAGGAAAGUGGAAUUCCUAGUGUAGCGGUGAAAUGCGUAGAUAUUAGGAAGAACACCAGUGGCGAAGGCGACUUUCUGGACGAAAACUGACGCUGAGGCGCGAAAGCCAGGGGAGCGAACGGGAUUAGAUACCCCUGUAGUCCCUGUCUCUUAUACC